rnacentral:snRNA from 8 species
AUCUUUUAAUCAUCAUAUGUUCUUAUCAGUUUAAUAUCUGAUACGUCCCCCAUCGGGGGACUACAUAUUAAAUGGAUUUUUUGAACAGGGAGUCGGAAAUGGGGCUUGCUCCGUCCGCUCCACGCAUCGACCCGGUAUUGCAGUACCUCCGGGAACGGUGCAACACUU